rfam:Clostridium hathewayi CAG:224 genomic scaffold, scf144
UAAGUUCUUCGGGGCGGGGUGUAAUUCCCCACCGGCGGUAUAGUCCGCGACCCACUGUCACAGUGGCUGAUCUGGUGUAAUUCCGGAACCGACAGUAUAGUCUGGAUGAGAGAAGAAAUUG